UUCCUUGCGAUUUGGAGCUGUAUACAGUUGACGUAAGAAAAAUCUAAAUGUCUGUGUUUGCAGCCAGCAUUUUCAGACAGAGGAUUUCGAAACGGAACUGAAGUCUCAAUGAUGGGGUUGCAAUGUCGUUGAGCUUUGAAAAUUGAUGAUAUUCCAUUGAAAUUCCCCUUCACCUCAAAGAGGAAGGCAUCUGAUCCGCGCAGCAGAAAAUAAGUUAAGCUGAGUAGUACAGCGCCUGUAGACCCAUUGGAUGAAAGCUUUCAGCCUGAAAUAAGCUCAAGCUCAACAACAUCUGAAUUUGAAACAAGCCAGGACAGCCAAAGAUGAACACAGAUCAUUGUAUGGUUACACAUCCUCAUGAUCAGUCUUAAUGGCUUUCCAGGAGACUUGCAGUACAAACAAAUCUUCUGCAAGAGGUCGAAUCAGUGGGGAGUGAAAAGGUGUACGAGAGGCCACAUGGCUGUGAAGUGCAGAAAAGAGCAGACUGUUGUCUACAAGGAGCCAGAGUCACAGCUCCACUAAACAUCUCUGGCAACAUCACCCCAGCGCCAAAGCCUGUUAAACCAGCUAUCAUUUCCCAACACAAGAAGAGGUUCACCAGCUGAGAAACAUUCAGGAACCUACCUGGAACAUUCAACCAACAUAACAUCCAUAUUUUGUAAUAUAAUAUGUAAAUGCCUAGUAUGAUUACAACUGCAUUGUGGUAUAUAUGUUGCUAGCUGUUGUACAUACAGUUGAAGUGGGAUGUUUACAUACACUUAGGUUGGAGUCAUUCAAAUUUGAUUUUCAACCACAAAACAAAUUUCUUGUUAAUAAACUAUAGUUUUGACAAGUCAGUUAGGACAUUUAAUUUGUGCAUGACACAAGUCAUUUUUCCAACAAUUGUUUACAGACAGAUUAUUACACUUAUAAUUCACUGUAUCACAUUUCCAGUGGGUCAGAAGUUUAAACACACUAAGUUGACUGUGCCUUUAAACAGCUUGGAAAAUUCCAGAAAAUCAUGGCUUUAGAGGCUUCUGAUAGGCUAAUUGACAUCAUUUGAGUCAAUUGGAGGUGUACCUGUGGAUGUAUUUCAAGGCCUACCUUCAAACUCAGUGCCUCUUUGCUUGACAUGGGAAAAUCAAAAGAAAUCAGCCAAGACCUCAGAAAAAAAAUUGUAGACCUCCACAAGUCUGGUUCAUCAUUGGGAACAAUUUCCAAACGCCUGAAGGUACCACGUUCAUCUGUACAAACAAUAGUACGCAAGUAUAAACACCAUGGGACCACGCAGCCGUCAUACCGCUCAGGAAGGAGACGUGUUCUGUCUCCUAGAGAUGAAAGUACUUUGGUGCAAAAAGUGCAAAUCAAUCCCAGAACAACAGCAAAGGACCUUGUGAAGAUGCUGGAGGAAACCGGUACAAAAGUAUCUAUAUCCACAGUAAGACAAGUCCUAUAUCGACAUAACCUGAAAGGCCGCUCAGCAAGAAAGAACCCGCUGCUCCAAAACGGCCAUAAAAAAGCAAAACUACGGUUUGCAAAUGCACAUGGAGAAAUGUCCUCUGGUCUGAUGAAACAAAAAUAAAACUGUUUGGCCAUAAUGACCAUCGUUAUGUUUGGAAGAAAAAGGGGAACGCUUGCAAGCCGAAGAACACCAUCCCAUCCGUGAAGCGGAUGGUGGCAGCAUCAUGUUGUGAGGGUGCUUUGCUGCAGGAGGGACUGGUGCACUUCACAAAAUAGAUGGCACCAUGACGAAGGAAAAUUAUGUGGGUAUAUUGAAGCAACAUCUCAAGACAUCAGUCAGAAAGAUAAAGCUUGGUCGCAAAUGGGUCUUCCAAAUGGACAAUGACCCCAAGCAUACUUCUAAAGUUGUGGCAAAAUGGCUUAAGGACAACAAAGUCAAGGUAUUGGAGUGGCCAUCACAAAGCCCUGACCUUAAUCCUAUAGAAAAUGUGUGGGCAGAACUGAAAAGGCGUGGAGGACUACAAACCUGACUCAGUUACACCAGCUCUGUCAGGAGGAAUGGGCCAAAAUUCACCCAAUUUAUUGUGGGAAGCUUGUGGAAGGCUACAUGAAAUGCUUGACCCAAGUUAAACAAUUUAAAGGCAAUGCUACCAAAUACUAAUUUAGUUUAUGUAAACUUCUGACCCACUGGGAAUGUGAUGAAAGAAAUAAAAGCUGAAAUAGUUAAUUAUCUCUACUAUUAUUCUGACAUUUCACAUUCUUAAACUCAAGUGGUGAUACAAACUGACCUAAGACAGGGAAUUUUUACAAGGAUUAUAUGUCAGGAAUUGUGAAAAACUGAGUUGAAAUGUAUUUGGCUAAGGUGUAUGUAAACUUCCAACUUUAACUGUAUGGACAGUGCCUUCGGAAAGUAUUCAGACCCCUUGACUUUUUCCACAUUUUGUUAUGUUGCAGCCUUAUUCUAAAAUGGAUUGAAAGAAAACAUUCUCCUCAUCAAUCUACACACAAUACCCCAUAAUGACAAAGUGAAAACAGGUUUUUAGAGAUUUAAGAAAAUGUAUUAAAAAUAAAAAGACCCCUUAUUUAUGUAAGUAUUCAGACUCUUUGCUAUGAGACUGUUUCCAUUGAUCAUCCUUGAGAUGUUUCGACAACUUGAUUGGAGUCCACCUGUGGUAAAUUCAAUCGAUUGGACAUGAUUUGGAAAGGCACACACCUGUCUAUAUAAGGUCCCACAGUGCAUGUCAGAGCAAAAACCAUGCCAUGAGGUUGAAGGAAUUGUCCGUAGAACUCAGAGACAGGAUUGUGUCGUGGCACAGAUCUGGGGAAGGGUACCAAACAUUUCUGCAACAUUGAAGGUCCCCAAGAACACAGUGGCUUCCAUAAUUCUUAAAUGGAAGGAGUUUGGAACUACCAAGACUUUUCCUAGAACUGAGCAAUCGGGGGAGAAGGGCCUUGGUCAGGGAGGUGAACAACAAUCCGAUGGUUACUCUGACAGAGCUCCAGAGUUCCUCUGUGGAGAUGGGAGAACCUUCCAGAAGGAUAACCAUCUCUGCAGCACUCCACCAAUUAAGCUUUUAUGGUAGAGUGGCUAGAUGGAAGCCACAUGACAGCCCGCUAGGAGUUUUCCAAAAGGCACCUAAAGGACUCUCCGACCUUGAGAAACAAGAUUCUCUGGUCUGAUGAACAAGAUUUUACUAUUUAGCCUGAAUGCCAGUGCUGGAGCACUCGGGACCUCAGACUGGGGCGAUGGUUCACCUUCCAACAGGACAACGAUCCUGAGCACACAGCUAAGAUAACGCAGGAGUGGCUUCAGGACAAAUCUCUGAAUGUCAUUGAGUGGCCCAGCCAGAGCCCGGACUUGAACCCGAUCCAACAUCUCUGGAGAGACCUGAAAAUAGCUGUGCCGCGACGCUCCCUAUCCAACUUGACAGAGCUUGAGAGGAUCUGCAGAGAAAUACAGGUGUGCCAAGCUUGUAGCGUCAUACCCAAGAAUACUCGAGGCUGUAAACGCUGCUAAAGGUGCUUCAGAGAAGUACAGAGUAAAGUGUCUGAAUACUUGUGUGAAUGCGAUAUUUCAGUUCUUUAUUUUUUUAAAUAAAUUUGCAAAAAUGUCUAAAUGUGUUUUUGCUUGGUCACUAUGGGGUAUUGUGUGUAGAUUGAGGGGGGGGGAACAAUGUAAUCAAUUUUAGAAUAAGGCUGUAACGUAACAUGGGGAAAGUCAAGGGGUCUGAAUACUUUCCAAGUACAUUGUAAAUAGUGUUUUUUUUUAUUUAUUUUUUUAUACAAAUGUAUUGACAAGUGACGACAGCUGUAUCAGAAACCAAUAAAGUGUCGAUGACAACUUCUGGAUCAAUUCAUUGUGAAAUUCUUGAAAUGUAGUUGGAUAAACUAGCUUCAAGCUUAAUGCUAAAAUAAAUUAUGCAGGGAGUUGGUGUAUCAUUUAAACUUUAAUUUGAUGGCAAGUAAACAUGCUUCAGUAAAUUAGUCUGUCAAGAUAGCAAAUAAAUAGACAUGGCUCGUAUUCAAAACAACGUUUAUUUUUUUCAAUGUGAGUUUACACAGCAGGAACAGUUAUGCCAAUUUAUGACAUACAGUACUAGUCUAAAGUUCGGAGACACCUACUCAUUCAAGGGUUUUAGUUUUUAAAAAACAAUUUUGUGCAUUGUAGAAUAAUAGUGAAGACCUCAAAACUAUGAAAUAACGCAUAUGGAAUCAUGUAGUAUCAAAAGUGUUAAACAAAUCCAAAUAUAUUUGAGAGUCUUCAAAGUAGCCACGCUUUGCCUUGAUGACAGCUUUGCACACUCUUGGCAUUCUCUCAACCAGAAAAUAAUAAAAAUCAAGAAAACUCUGGAAUUAGUAGGUUUGUCCAAACUUUUGACUGGUACUGUAUGUACAGUUCUUUAUUUUCCUAAUGAGUGGCACUGAGGCUAGCUAGGCUAGUUAUCCAGCUAGCUAUAAUGCUAGACUACAGUACAUUUUAGGUUUAGCAAACAUACCUAGCUAGCUAGCGAAACUUGGCUAGCUUGGCUUGUUGUGGUACUAGCAAGGCCGUUAUGGCUGAAUCGAUGCGAAUCUUGCGUAGAAAGAGCUUGUAUUGUUACAGUAGCUCUGUACCGACCGCAAAACAACUUACUUAUUUGUCAUUUGCCCUCCCGAGUCCUGUUCCAGCUGGUUUGAGCUGCUGCCACUACUUGCUGGACUCGCAAUUACUUUUCUUUCUUGCUCUUCAGUGUUUUCUGGAUCAAAUGACUGUAUGUUCCUAUGUAAAAUAACAACAAAUAAAUCGUCACCCAGCUCUUCUUGGAAAAAGGAA